rnacentral:rRNA from 1 species
UCNUCUGGCUUAACUGGGGGCUUGCGGUGGGUACGGGCCGGCUUGAGUGCGGUAGGGGAGACUGGAACUCCUGGUGUAGCGGUGGAAUGCGCAGAUAUCAGGAAGAACACCGGUGGCGAAGGCGGGUCUCUGGGCCGUUACUGACGCUGAGGAGCGAAAGCGUGGGGAGCGAACAGGAUUAGAUACCCUGGUAGUCCACGCCGUAAACGUUGGGCACUAGGUGUGGGGGGCCUUUUCCGGNUCUUCCGCGCCGUAGCUAACGCAUUAAGUGCCCCGCCUGGGGAGUACGGCCGCAAGGCUAAAACUCAAAGGAAUUGACGGGGGCCCGCACAAGCGGCGGAGCAUGCGGAUUAAUUCGAUGCAACGCGAAGAACCUUACCAAGGCUUGACAUGUGCCGGUCGGCUCCGGAGACGGGGUUUCCUCCUUGUGGGGCCGGUUCACAGGUGGUGCAUGGUUGUCGUCAGCUCGUGUCGUGAGAUGUUGGGUUAAGUCCCGCAACGAGCGCAACCCUUGUCCCGUGUUGCCAGCACGUUGUGGUGGGGACUCGCGGGAGACUGCCGGGGUCAACUCGGAGGAAGGUGGGGAUGACGUCAAAUCAUCAUGCCCCUUAUGUCUUGGGCUUCACGCAUGCUACAAUGGCCGGUACAGAGGGCUGCGAUACCGUGAGGUGGAGCGAAUCCCUUAAAGCCGGUCUCAGUUCGGAUCGGUGUCUGCAACUCGACACCGUGAAGUUGGAGUCGCUAGUAAUCGCAGAUCAGCAACGCUGCGGUGAAUACGUUCUCGGGCCUUGUACACACCGCCCGUCACGUCAUGAAAGUCGGCAACACCCGAAGCCCGU